rnacentral:rRNA from 1 species
GAAACGGGAAGAGCCCAAACCAACAAGCUUGCUUGUUGGGGUUGUAGGACACUCUAUACGGAGUUACAAAGGACGACAUUAGACGAAUCAUCUGGAAAGAUGAAUCAAAGAAGGUAAUAAUCCUGUAGUCGAAAAUGUUGUCUCUCUUGAGUGGAUCCUGAGUACGACGGAGCACGUGAAAUUCCGUCGGAAUCUGGGAGGACCAUCUCCUAAGGCUAAAUACUCUCUAGUGACCGAUAGUGAACCAGUACCGUGAGGGAAAGGUGAAAAGCACCCCGGAAGGGGAGUGAAAUAGAACCUGAAACCGUGUGCUUACAAGUAGUCAGAGCCCGUUAAUGGGUGAUGGCGUGCCUUUUGUAGAAUGAACCGGCGAGUUACGAUUUGAUGCAAGGUUAAGCAGUAAAUGUGGAGCCGUAGCGAAAGCGAGUCUGAAUAGGGCGUUUAGUAUUUGGUCGUAGACCCGAAACCAGGUGAUCUACCCUUGGUCAGGUUGAAGUUCAGGUAACACUGAAUGGAGGACCGAACCGACUUACGUUGAAAAGUGAGCGGAUGAACUGAGGGUAGCGGAGAAAUUCCAAUCGAACCUGGAGAUAGCUGGUUCUCUCCGAAAUAGCUUUAGGGCUAGCCUCAAGUGAUGAUUAUUGGAGGUAGAGCACUGUUUGGACGAGGGGCCCCUCUCGGGUUACCGAAUUCAGACAAACUCCGAAUGCCAAUUAAUUUAACUUGGGAGUCAGAACAUGGGUGAUAAGGUCCGUGUUCGAAAGGGAAACAGCCCAGACCACCAGCUAAGGUCCCAAAAUAUAUGUUAAGUGGAAAAGGAUGUGGCGUUGCCCAGACAACUAGGAUGUUGGCUUAGAAGCAGCCAUCAUUUAAAGAGUGCGUAAUAGCUCACUAGUCGAGUGACACUGCGCCGA